rnacentral:rRNA from 1 species
GAUGAACGCUGGCGGCGUGCCUAAUACAUGCAAGUCGAGCGAACAGACGAGGAGCUUGCUCCUCUGACGUUAGCGGCGGACGGGUGAGUAACACGUGGAUAACCUACCUAUAAGACUGGGAUAACUUCGGGAAACCGGAGCUAAUACCGGAUAAUAUAUUGAACCGCAUGGUUCAAUAGUGAAAGACGGUUUUGCUGUCACUUAUAGAUGGAUCCGCGCCGCAUUAGCUAGUUGGUAAGGUAACGGCUUACCAAGGCAACGAUGCGUAGCCGACCUGAGAGGGUGAUCGGCCACAAUGAAACUGAGACACGGUCCAGACUCCUACGGAGGCAGCAGUAGGGAAUCUUCCGCAAUGGGCGAAAGCCUGACGGAGCAACGCCGCGUGAGUGAUGAAGGUCUUCGGAUCGUAAAACUCUGUUAUUAGGGAAGAACAAAUGUGUAAGUAACUAUGCACGUCUUGACGGUACCUAAUCAGAAAGCCACGGCUAACUACGUG